rnacentral:lncRNA from 1 species
GUGGGUCAUGCAGUGUCUAAUUCUCCCAGAGAGCUCACCUGGUCCAGCACCAGCUGCCCCCACACAGGGGACGAGCUCUGCAAGGGCUCCGACUGCAGCCACCUCUUCCACCUGAGGAGGGCGCUGUCCACGCACAUAUGCGGAUGUGUGCACAGAUGUGGGUGCCAGUUUGCAUUCCCCUCCCUUGUGGCCACCACCAGGCACAUGCACUUGGGUGAGCACUGCCACCACUGCCUACAGUGUGGCACUCCCCUUGCUGACUGGGAAACUUGCUCCAGCACCAGCUUAUCCAUGCAGGAGAGAAGCCCUACUGGUGCUUUGACUGUGUGUGGUGCGUGCACCAAAGAGGCUCCCUUGGCCAUUCAUAGGCACACGCAUACAGGUGAGAAGCCUCAGUCCUGCUCUGAGUGUGGCAUCUGCUUCU